rnacentral:rRNA from 1 species
GACGUAGGGGGCCAGCGUUGCUCGGAAUUACUGGGCGUAAAGGGUUCGUAGGCGGUGUGGCAAGUCGGGAGUGAAAUCUCUGGGCUUAACUCAGAGGCUGCUUCCGAAACUGCCGUGCUAGAGUGCGGGAGAGGCGAGUGGAAUUGCAGGUGUAGCGGUGAAAUGCGUAGAUAUCUGCAGGAACACCCGUGGCGAAGGCGGCUCGCUGGACCGCAACUGACGCUGAGGAACGAAAGCUAGGGAGCAAACAGG